CACAGAAGCAAAGAAUCACAGAAUGGUUUGGGUUGGAAGGAACCUUGAAGGUCAUCUAAUUCCCACCCCCCUACCAUGGGCAGGCCUGUCUUCCACUAGACCAAGUGGCUCAGAGCUCCAUCCAGCCCGGCCUUGCUGGAUCUCAGAGUUACAUCAUACUAUGUACGAAGAAGAAAACAGGACAGAAGCUAGAUGGAGCCAGUCAAGCUGCUUCAGCCAUGAAAAACAACAAUAGCAAUCAGGAGAUACUCAAAAGACAGAAGUUAUCAUGAGCAAAUUGCACUGAAUAAACAAAG
rnacentral:lncRNA from 1 species